rnacentral:rRNA from 1 species
GAUGAACGCUGGCGGCGUGCCUAAUACAUGCAAGUAGAACGCUGAAGGAGGAGCUUGCUCUUCUGGAUGAGUUGCGAACGGGUGAGUAACGCGUAGGUAACCUGCCUGGUAGCGGGGGAUAACUAUUGGAAACGAUAGCUAAUACCGCAUGACAACAGUUAUUGCAUGAUAACUGUUUAAAAGGGGCAACUGCUCCACUACCAGAUGGACCUGCGUUAUAUUAGCUAGUUGGUGAGGUAACGGCUCACCAAGGCGACGAUACAUAGCCGACCUGAGAGGGUGAUCGGCCACACUGGGACUGAGACACGGCCCAGACUCCUACGGGAGGCAGCAGUAGGGAAUCUUCGGCAAUGGACGGAAGUCUGACCGAGCAACGCCGCGUGAGUGAAGAAGGUUUUCGGAUCGUAAAGCUCUGUUGUAAGAGAAGAACGAGUGUGAGAGUGGAAAGUUCACACUGUGACGGUAUCUUACCAGAAAGGGACGGCUAACUACGUG